UAGAGACUUUUUUAUCAAACGGGAGGGACUUUUUAGGACUAAACUAGGCAUUUGGGACUAAAUGAAACAAACACCCCCAGCGGCGCACGACCUUCCUUCCUCGAGCAGCGGCAGUGGAGCGGGGUGCAGCGGGCUUGGCCUACGCCGACGGGCGGCGUGGUCCCUCUCCUCUAUCGAGUAGCGGCGGUGGCGCGGGACGCAGCGGGCUCGGCCUUCGUCGUCGGCGGCGGGGUCCCUCGACCAUCAGCGGCAGCGCCGAACACAAUAGGCGGCCAGGACGCGGCGGCGAAGCUGAGGGAGCCGUCCCUUGUGGCACGGGGGGCGUGACGGUGCCAUGGCGGCUCUGGGGUGGAGGGCGCAUGCGUGUACGCGGCGCGUUCCUCCGGCUUCCGGCGUGCCGCAGCAUGGACUUCCCUGCUGUCGUCGUGCUCCCUGAUGCCAGCUCCUCCUUCCUCCCGCCGCUAGACAUGCACAACACCAUCCCAUGCCCUCUGCCCGCUGGCCAGAGAAAGGCAUUGGUGAGAAAUAUGGAAUGAUGCACGUGAACAGAUUGUCACUGCCAUCUCAUCCACUGCACUGAAGGAGAUCAAGCCCAUUUCCAUCAGCAUCAACUAGCACCUCUCCUUGACCUGCAUCCUUGUCCUUUGGUAAGUUGGCAUGCUCCCUGUUCGUGUACAAGGACGGUGAGAUGGAUAUGGGUUUGGUACUACUGAUGUUGAUGAACUGCUCAUUUGCAAACAAGAUGAGCCUGAAAGGAACUAAGAGAAAUGACUAUUCAUUUAUCAAUCUUGGCAUUCUUUGUAUUGCCAAUUUGUCAAUUCGACUGAUGAUUGAAUGUAUUGGUAGACACAAUGACCUGUUUCUUGAUCAGCUAUGAUAUGUGUUUCCACUGGCUACUUGCCGCUUUCUGAGGGGCAGAUUUUAGCUUGAGAAGAUUUUUGCGAAAACAUAGCGGUGCUCUUGCUCUGAUGGAAAUUCAGAGUAGGGUGUUCCAAACUAGAUUGAUACACGUAGGAAUUUGUGACUGAGUUUUAUGCUCAGAGCUACAUACAUGCUUGCAGCGCUUCACCUAUCCUAGAACUUUUAUUUCAUUUUUUGUGUUGCUAUAAUCUGUCCAUUAGUCGGUAUUCCAGCUCCAUUAAUCGGUAUUCUAGCUGAAAGUUUCAAAGUUGUCAAUUAUUUUCGAAACUUGGUUCGCAGAGUAGCUGGUCCUUUUUUGGGACAUAUUUGUUGUGUCUUUUUCUCAGUGUGUCUUGUAUUUUGUCAUACACAGUUCAAUUAGCUAAUUGUUAUUAUGCCAUAGCUAAAUUGUGCAACCUAUUGCCGCUCUGCCAUGUGUCACAUGGCCAUCCUUCAUACACCGCUUCACUAGGACUAAGACCGAAGUGCAAAUGAUGAAAUUUCCAAAAGAAGUUGCCUCUUGUUUGGACACCGCGAAGUACGGGCUGGCAAGACUAAGAUUAGGCAAAGAGAGCUUCAGGAGGACCGAGUAUGACACCUCACUCGACGAUCUAUUCUUCAAGCAAGGAUGAAGAAGUUCCUCAUGAGACAUGACAUGAGAUUGGCACUGCUAUACUAAUUACAUUUAAUACCGUCGCCAACAAUGAGUUGGAUAUUAUAGUCAUUCUUUUAUGUCCUCUGAGAAGAUCAUGUUGGACGAGUUCCGGGCUUUAAUGAGUUAUUUAGUCAUUUCUCUUCGGGUUUUUUAAACCAUGGAGGAGAACUGCAUGUGAACUUCAUAGAUACGAGAAGAAAAGGAUAAAGGCAUGUACAAAGUUCAAUUCCUCUUCUGUUUAUUUUGUUUCCUCUUUGUCUACAUACUGGUUUUUGAACUAUGUAUUGUUAAUCGGAUGUAUAUAGACAUGUUUUAGUGUGUUUGUUCACUUAUUGCAAUCAGUAUGUAGUCUAUGUUAAA